UACAGAGGUGGCAAGCGUUGUUCGGAAUUACUGGGCGUAAAGGGCGCGUAGGCGGUUCGUUAAGUCCUGUGUGAAAUCCCCCGGCUCAACUGGGGAACUGCACAGGAAACUAGCGGGCUUGAGUUCGGGAGAGGGAAGCGGAAUUCCGGGUGUAGCGGUGAAAUGCGUAGAUAUCCGGAGAACACCAAUUGCGAAGGCAGCUCGCUGGGACGUUACUGACGCUGAGACGCGAAAGCGUGGGGAGCAA
rnacentral:rRNA from 1 species